AAUCAGAUUGGCUGGAGGAACGUGACCCGCCUGCUGGUGUUCUCCACCGACGCUGGGUUCCACUUCGCUGGAGACGGAAAACUGGGCGGCAUCGUCCUGCCCAACGACGGGAAGUGUCACCUGGAGAACAACAUGUACACCAUGAGCCACUACUAUGACUACCCCUCCAUCGCCCAUUUGGUCCAGAAGCUGAGCGAUCACAACAUCCAGACCAUCUUCGCCGUCACUGAGGAGUUCCAGCCCGUCUACAAGGAGCUGAAGAAUCUCAUUCCUAAAUCCGCUGUCGGCACGCUGUCCUCCAACUCCAGCAACGUGAUCAAACUCAUUAUUGAUGCUUACAAUGU